rnacentral:rRNA from 1 species
CCUACGGGUGGCUGCAGUGGGGAAUAUUGGACAAUGGGCGCAAGCCUGAUCCAGCCAUGCCGCGUGAGUGAUGACGGCCUUAGGGUUGUAAAGCUCUUUUGUCCGGGACGAUAAUGACGGUACCGGAAGAAUAAGCCCCGGCUAACUUCGUGCCAGCAGCCGCGGUAAUACGAAGGGGGCUAGCGUUGCUCGGAAUCACUGGGCGUAAAGGGCGCGUAGGCGGCUUAUCAAGUCGGGGGUGAAAGCCCGUGGCUCAACCACGGAAUGGCCUUCGA